rnacentral:rRNA from 1 species
UACGUAGGGACCAAGCGUUGUUCGGAUUUACUGGGCGUAAAGGGCGCGUAGGCGGCAUAUUAAGUCAGCUGUGAAAUCUCCGAGCUUAACUCGGAACUGUCAGCUGAUACUGAUGUGCUAGAGUGCAGAAAGGGCAAUCGGAAUUCUUGGUGUAGCGGUGAAAUGCGUAGAUAUUCGGAAGAACACCAGUGGCGAAGGCGACUUACUGGACACAUAUUGACGCUGAGGUGCGAAAGCGUGGGGAGCAAACAAG